GGCAGAGGGUGCAAACGUUGUUCGGAAUUACUGGGCGUAAAGCGCGUGUAGGCUGCUUGGAAAGUCGGAUGUGAAAGCCCUGGGCUCAACCUAGGAAGUGCAUUCGAAACUUCCAGCUGGAGUGCUGGAGAGGAAGGCGGAAUUCUCGGUGUAGAGGUGAAAUUCGUAGAUAUCGAGAGGAACACCGGUGGCGAAGGCAGCUCUCUGGGCCGGUACUGACGCUGAGACGCGAAAGCGUGGGGAGCGAACGGG
rnacentral:rRNA from 1 species